rnacentral:rRNA from 1 species
AUUGAGUGCAUGCUUAGUACGGCGAGUGAAGCGGCAAAAGCUCAAAUUUGAAAUCUGGUACCUUCGGUGCCCGAGUUGUAAUUUGGAGAGGGCAACUUUGGGGCCGUUCCUUGUCUAUGUUCCUUGGAACAGGACGUCAUAGAGGGUGAGAAUCCCGUGUGGCGAGGAGUGCGGUUCUUUGUAAAGUGCCUUCGAAGAGUCGAGUUGUUUGGGAAUGCAGCUCUAAGUGGGUGGUAAAUUCCAUCUAAAGCUAAAUAUUGGCGAGAGACCGAUAGCGAACAAGUACAGUGAUGGAAAGAUGAAAAGAACUUUGAAAAGAGAGUGAAAAAGUACGUGAAAUUGUUGAAAGGGAAGGGCAUUUGAUCAGACAUGGUGUUUUGUGCCCUCUGCUCCUUGUGGGUAGGGGAAUCUCGCAUUUCACUGGGCCAGCAUCAGUUUUGGUGGCAGGAUAAAUCCAUAGGAAUGUAGCUUGCCUCGGUAAGUAUUAUAGCCUGUGGGA